rnacentral:sRNA from 1 species
GCGCGCGCGUGUGCCAUGGCUGUCAGACCUGUGAAAUUGGCUCCUAGCAAGGCGCUUAUGACAACUAUCAAGUCCCUUUUAGUGGCACCUUAGCCAGUAUCAACACUGGACUAUCCACUCCUAAAACCUACCAACAUUCUAUCCCAAAAAGGGCCUUCAAACAACCCUAAAAACUCGCCUGGACUCAGAAAGCGCGCACCCUGAUAGUCACGGUGCUGCUUCUAUCUGCCAGCUCAAGUCCCCGGAUGUAGGAAUGCCCAAGGUGGCUCUGAGAACCUCAACUUCCUGGAUUCAGGAUGAGCGGCCUGGCUGUUUCCUUUCAGCUGUGACUGAUGAAUAGCUAUCCAUCCUCCUGUGACUGAAGUUGCAGCUUGGUGUUGUAGUAGUCUCGUACUCCAGCCCGUGACAUGGAGCUACCUCCACUCAUGGCUAUUAUUAAAAUCAGUCUGCAUUUCCUAAGCAUAUGCCACUGACAGCAAGAGGAAGGCAGUCCACAGGCGACAGAGUAAGUAAGGUCUACCUGGGGUUAAGUGCUAGAAAAUACAUGAUCAAUCAAUCAUAGAGUGUAUGUGUGGGACUACGUGCACACACAAAUGUUCUAGCGUCUUCAUACAAGAAACAAGAAUAAGAACAAUAGGACAAAGUUCUUGCAAAAGGCUUUUCCAGAGAUCUGAGUACAAGAUCGAUCAUGUAAUCUUUCUGGAGUCACCAUGUACAUGGCCCCUCUGAGGUUGUCCACUAUCAGCCUUUAUCUGCUGGGGUUGAUGCAGGAGAUUGAUGGGAUUGAUGAUUAUUCUUUCUACUGCUCUUCUGCAUUUUUCCUAAUCUUCUGUUAAUUUGUUAAGAAAUUCAAAAUAUAGGGCCAGGUGUAUCGUUUAGUUGCACAACACUUUCUUAUCAUGUGCAAAAUCCUGGACUCCCUCCACAUCACUAGAACAAGGGGAUACAGAGGAGGGUGGAUGAGGAAGACAAGUGGUCUCAGCUAUUUGGGAGGCUGAAGCGGGAGGAUCACUUGACCCAAGGAGCCAAGGGCAUCCUGAGCAAAAACAGCAAGAUGCCAUCUUAAGAAAAAGAAAUGUCAAAAGUACACUACACUGUAUAUUUUAAUUCCACACAUGGACAUUUGUGCUGAAAAAUAAGUUUCUGUAGGCUUUACUAAUAAAUGCUGAACUCAGAGGUCUCUUCAAACACUGGCCAUAAACAUUCAAUUUUACACAAAAUCUGAUUUUGUGUAUAAUAAUAAUUCCCUAUCCAUAGAAAAGGUAACUUCAUGCAAUCACCAGAAUCCAUUUACAUAUUUUCCUAACACUCUUAACUCAUCUUGUGUGGUGCCUGAUAAUGCUGAAAGCAUCAGGAGCUUGAGAGAGCAUCAGAGAAAGAGUACUUUGUACAAAGAAGUACAAGUAUGUUUCAGGUCAAAAGAGGUCCUUUGACCCAUUCCUAAACAUCGCUAGUAGUACUGUAUUCUUCCCAAUAGCCUUCGUGAGCAUUGUCUCAAAUAGUAAUAAUAAGACUGAAUCUUAAAACAAAUGCGGUACACUUGAGUUGUACCCCCAUAAUUAGAAAUAGUCCAUCUUUCUAUUCAAUAUUGACUUCUUGAAAAGCUGCACUGAGAUGAUUGUGGGCCAUGUGCACUAAAUAUCAAAGUAUGGCACCAGUGAAAAGGCAUGCCCUCGGGGUAGGUGUCCUCAGAUCCAUUAUCAUUAGUCUUCCACUAUCAAUAUAUUUUAGCUAACUUAACUGGAGAAUAAAAUGUGACAUUCUGAUGUUCUUGUCCCAACAUAUGCACCAUCCUUCAGUCUAUUGGGUGCUGGAGAUGGAAUCUAGGGUUGUCUCAAAUAUGCUAGCCAAGCAUUCUACCAACUAGAUACUUCUUCAGCUCUUUUCAACUAGUAUUUCAAAUAUACAGAAGGUUUAGUUAGGAGUUAAAAAGUAUAGGAAAUUAACAAGGUUAUUGUAGAAUAUAGUUACAGUAAUAUAGUUCCCAGUAAGUUCUGGAUCGGACAUCUGAGUGUUUUUCUGUUGUUUCCAGAUAUAAUUUUAUAUUUGCCAAUGAAAUCUG